rnacentral:lncRNA from 10 species
CUGAGUGCUCAGCUCUGCACAUCAGGUUCACUUCGUGGCGGCAGAGUAAAGGCCACAGCUACUGGAAAAUGACUUUCCCUAGCCUCCCCUUCCUGAUUUUCAUCAAUCACAUUAUCCCCUUGCUCCUUCCAGCUUAGUGGUGGUAAGAAAUCAUACUCCCUUAUACAUCUUUCCCACUGUUGCUGGCCCUUGUGCUUUAUGUCAAGGCACUUUUCCUAUACUUGCCUGUAAGUUUUAUGGGCUCUGUUAAGUUUGUCCAAGACUGUUCUUGCUAGCUUUUGGUUUGUUUCUUUAUAAAAUAAUAAAAUUGAUUUAUGUGAUCUGUCAAUUGAACAAGUUAGGAUCGUUAGAUAUUAAAUUUUGUCUAAUUCGUUGUGCUGCCAAUAGUUAGUUAAGGAACUGGCAAUCUGUUAAAUCUCAAUAUAUAUCAACUGGAAUUGUUUUUAGCCACAAAAUCUUUCUGUGUUCUUUUUCAAAAACUCAAAGUGUGACAUGCAAAUAUGAAUU